GAAUGUUGUACUUCCCUGAAAAAGCAAAAACAUUGUAUUUUAGGCUGCUUACAGCUCAAGUUAGCUGUUAGGGUCCCUGGAGUUGUGAGGUUGCAGAGGGUUUCUUUUUCUUUCUCUCUCUUUUUCUUUUUUUUAUUGCAGGAGGUUUUGCCCCCAAAUCCAUUAUGAACCUGAUGAUGUUACAUACUGAACACUAAAAACUAGGGCAUUGAGUUAGGAUAUAGAUAUAAUUUAUACAUUUAUACAGUAUGAAUCAAAGCAGAUGGCCAAAACUGAUUUACUACUUCCAUUUUUAAAUAUAUGAUGCAUAUGGCAAGAUAAUUGGUUCACACCAAUUAGCUUGCCCUAAGUGUCAUAUGUUUAAAAACGGAGGGAGUAGUAACAAACUGCAGAGGCAGGCUAUUAAUCUAGUGUUUGUACCCUGCGGAAUUCUCAGUAGCCAUAAACCACUUGCCCCUGUAUGGAAUGAAAUAUACCUUUUGUUACUUUAAUGACAAAUUGCUUGUGACAAUGCUGUGCAGGUCAAUGUUUUUGCAGCUAGAGGUUUACGAUGGCAUGGCUUCGAAAGCUUCGGCGUGAACGCAGGCAAGGGAGUUGCAGUGUGUACGACGACAUAUUGGUGGCGACCACCAUUGCUCGUAUCGGCACAGAGGAAGAAGAAAACAAACCUAACCCACGUCGGGGUUCAAUUGUAGGACGCCGGACAAUUGCACGAGAUAGAUACAGUGGGUAUUGCCGUUUGAUGGAGGACUAUUUUGUUUCCAACUCGGUCUAUGGUGAAAACUUGUUUCGCCGCCGGUUCCGAAUGACAAAGAAUAUGUUUGAAGAUAUCAAGGACGCAUGUGAGCAAGCAAACGUAUACUUUAAAUGGAGACAAAAUGUUGCGGGAGUUUGGGGCUUGGCUCCG